rnacentral:piRNA from 2 species
UGUCAUUGUGGGUAGCCAUUUAUUGAAUU